rnacentral:rRNA from 1 species
GAUGAACGCUGGCGGCGUGCCUAAUACAUGCAAGUCGAGCGAACAGACGAGGAGCUUGCUCCUCUGACGUUAGCGGCGGACGGGUGAGUAACACGUGGAUAACCUACCUAUAAGACUGGGAUAACUUCGGGAAACCGGAGCUAAUACCGGAUAAUAUAUUGAACCGCAUGGUUCAAUAGUGAAAGACGGUUUUGCUGUCACUUAUAGAUGGAUCCGCGCCGCAUUAGCUAGUUGGUAAGGUAACGGCUUACCAAGGCAACGAUGCGUAGCCGACCUGAGAGGGUGAACGGCCACACUGGAACUGAGACACGGUCCAGACUCCUACGGGAGGCAGCAGUAGGGAAUCUUCCGCAAUGGGCGAAAGCCUGACGGAGCAACGCUGCGUGAGUGAUGAAGGUCUUCGGAUCGUAAAACUCUGUUAUUAGGGAAGAACAAAUGUGUAAGUAACUAUGCACGUCUUGACGGUACCUAAUCAGAAAGCCACGGCUAACUACGUG